rnacentral:rRNA from 1 species
AUUGAACGCUGGCGGCAUGCCUUACACAUGCAAGUCGAACGGCAGCACGGGAGCAAUCCUGGUGGCGAGUGGCGAACGGGUGAGUAAUAUAUCGGAACGUGCCCAGUCGUGGGGGAUAACGCAGCGAAAGCUGUGCUAAUACCGCAUACGAUCUACGGAUGAAAGCGGGGGAUCGCAAGACCGCGCGCGAUUGGAGCGGCCGAUAUCAGAUUAGCUAGUUGGUGAGGUAAAGGAUCACCAAGGUGACGAUCUGUAGCUGGUCUGGGAGGACGACCAGCCACACUGGAACUAAGACACGGUCCAGACUCCUAGGGGAGGCAGCAGUGGGAAAUUUUGGACAAUGGGGCCAAGCCUGAUCCAGCAAUGCCGCGUGCAGGAUGAAGGCAUUCGGGUUGUAAACUGCUUUUGUACGGAACGAAACGGUGAGCUCUAAUACAGUUUGCUAAUGUCGGUACCGUAAGAAUAAGCACCGGCUAACUACUUGCCAGCAGCCGCCGUAAUAC